UACCAGCACCCCGAGUGGUCGGGACGAUUAUUGGGCCUAAAGCAUCCGUAGCCGGUUCUGCAAGUCCCCCGUUAAAUCCAGCUGCUCAACAGAUGGGCCGCGGAGGAUACUACAGAGCUAGGAGGCAGGAGAGGCAAGCGGUACUCAGUGGGUAGGGGUAAAAUCCGUUGAUCCAUUGAAGACCACCAGUGGCGAAGGCGGCUUGCCAGAAUGCGCUCGGCGGUGAGGGAUGAAAGCUGGGGGAGCAAACCGGG
rnacentral:rRNA from 1 species